rnacentral:rRNA from 1 species
GAUGAACGCUGGCGGCGUGCCUAAUACAUGCAAGUCGAGCGAACAGACGAGGAGCUUGCUCCUCUGACGUUAGCGGCGGACGGGUGAGUAACACGUGGAUAACCUACCUAUAAGACUGGGAUAACUUCGGGAAACCGGAGCUAAUACCGGAUAAUAUAUUGAACCGCAUGGUUCAAUAGUGAAAGACGGUUUUGCUGUCACUUAUAGAUGGAUCCGCGCCGCAUUAGCUAGUUGGUAAGGUAACGGCUUACCAAGGCAACGAUGCGUAGCCGACCUGAGAGGGUGAUCGGCCACACUGGAACUGAGACACGGUCCAGACUCCUACGGGAGGCAGCAGUAGGGAAUCUGCCGCAAUGGGCGAAAGCUUGACGGAGCAACGCCGAGUGAGUGAUGAAGGUCUUCGGAUCGUAAAACUCUGUUAUGAGGGAAGAACAAAUGUGUAAGUAACUAUGCACGUCUUGACGGUACCUAAUCAGAAAGCCACGGCUAACUACGUG